GGAUGUAGGGCAAUCUGACUGUGACAUUUGUCACCCCUUUGAUCACUAGAGUUGAUUCAGUUGAUCUGGCUGGCUAGGCACGCGCUCAAUUCCUCCCUCACCGCUCCAUGUGUGUCCCUUCUGUAGCACCGCGCUUGGUGGAAGAGGACCAUUACCCUGAACGAGCAUCGUUAGUAUAUGCGUAGCUGCACUCCCCUGCUAUAACCUCCAAACAAGCUCAAGGCCCAGUUGUAGGAAAAACAUAGGGAAGUCAAGCCCAAGACGUCAAACACAUCCAAAUGAGGCACUGCACAUCAGGGGGAUAAAUGCUAACGUCU
rnacentral:snRNA from 1 species